UACAGAGGUCCCAAGCGUUGUUCGGAUUUACUGGGCGUAAAGGGCGCGUAGGCGGUCAGCACAAGUCAGUUGUGAAAUCUCCGGGCUUAACUCGGAAAGGUCAACUGAUACUGUGGGACUAGAGUGCGGAAGGGGCAACUGGAAUUCUCGGUGUAGCGGUGAAAUGCGUAGAUAUCGAGAGGAACACCUGCGGCGAAGGCGGGUUGCUGGGCCGACACUGACGCUGAUGCGCGAAAGCCAGGGGAGCGAACGGG
rnacentral:rRNA from 1 species